GCCGCAUGCCCAGCGCCUGGAAGCGUGCCUGGCACAUAGAAGGUGCUUGGUAAAUCUUUCAGACAAACAGAUGAAUGAGCAAAGGAACUUCUGGUGAUCUCAGGACACAAGCCUGAGCCACCUCCGUUUCCUUUCUCUCUCCAGAGGGUUGGACGGAACCCUCUGGAGAAGCAAAUUCGGCAGCUUCUGGACAAAUCAGCAUCGGCAAGACCUGCUUCCUGUUUCAUGUCUAAAAAGUGGGGGGUUGGGGAAGCCUCACUGAGCACAAAAUUUGGUUAGUCAAAUAGAAGCCCACGUGUGCAGCCGAGUGCCAAAGGAGCGCUGCUCACUGUCAUGACUGUAGCUUUGCCUGGACCCCUGCAUCCUGCCCCGAAACAGAACGAGGAAAUGAUGGCUGGGUUCUGCCAAAGGGCACGUGGCUCUUUCAAGGGCACACGACAUGAUCCUGGACCCAUAGGCCCUUCACCUCCUGCAUCGAAGCCAGCUCUGAGUCCUGAAGAUCGAUCACACCAUAG